GCUUUUCUAGUAUAGACUAGUACAAAUGAUUUCCAAUCAUUUAAUCUUGGUUAGAAUCCAAGGAGAAGUA
rnacentral:tRNA from 1 species